AAUUAGUUUUUUAAUUGAAAAAUAGAAUGAAUGGUUAUACUAAAAAAGCGUAUCUAAAAUUUAAAUUUGAAUUUUUAAGUUUAGUGAAAAUACUAAAAAUUUUUUAUGGGACAAAAAGACCCUAUGAAGCUAUUAAAAAUAAAAAAUAUAAAAAUAGAAAAAAUUUUUUUUAAUUUUUUGGGGAAAAAUUUAAAAUUUUUAUUAUUAUUUAUUAACAUAAUUAGAGCCUUAUGGAAUUUUGAGUAAGCUCCCCUAGGGAUAACAGCAUAAUAUUUAAAAAAGUUCUAAUUAGAAUAAGUGU
rnacentral:rRNA from 1 species